GGUCCCCAUCGCCCAGGUCCCCAUCGCCCGCCCCGGUCCCCAUCGCCCGCCCCGGGCCCCAUCGCCUGCCCGGGUCCCAUCGCCCGCCCGGGUCCCCACUGCCCGGGUCCCCAUCGCCCGCCCCGGCCGGGGCACCGCGACCGCUCCGCUUCCCCGCGUGCCUUGGGUCGGGUGCGGCUCAGGCGUGCCGGGGUAGCGGGCGCGGAGGAACCGCAGCGUGAAAUCUCCGGGGGGAGACUUUUGUAUGUUUUGUUUUUCUUCAAUGUCAGAUAUACAGGGAAGAAUUUUUUGACUGAAGGGGUGGUAAGCACUGGCACAGGUUGUCCAGAGAAGCCGUGGAGCCCCAUCCCUGCCUCGUCCCUCAUCCCAAGGCCAGGUGGGACAGGUUUCUGAGCAGCCUACUCUGGUGGGUGGCAUCCCUGCCGCUGGAAUGGGAGUUGGAACUAGACAGCCUUUAAAUGUCCAUUCCAACCUAAACCAUUCCAUGACUCUACGAACACAUAGAACAUUCUCUGUGGUGGAGGAAUUUCUCAGGGGACAGACACAUCCCUCCAUGGAGGAGGAUUAGCUGGAUGCUGAGGGUGGCCACAGCACAGACAGUGCCCUCACUGUCCAUCUUGCAGCAUCUGAGCACGGUGACAGUCACAGUGUCCAUUGACAGCUGUGGCAAGUGAUGGAAACAGGUCCAGGUUUGUCCAGGGCGUCAGGGGAAAGAGGAGAUGGGGCCAGUCAGGACUGGAAAGGAUACAACCUGCAUCAAAGGUCCUUACAGGAAAUGGGAACUGAGGUGAGACUUCAGCAUUGUUCUAAAGUCUGAGCAGGAGACCAGGGCACCCCCAGGUAUGGCUGAUCAGGGCCUUCAGAGUUUACAAGUUCUGCAAAUCGAGGCUAUUUAUGACUCUUCACAUUGCUGGUUGUCUAUUGAGAAAAACAUUCAAACACCUGAUUUUCAAAGCCUGCAGAAAUCCUGGUGACCAACAGUCACCUUCUGGGGAUGCCCUGAAGGCAGAUGAACCAAGGGAGGGUUUCAGUGCCAUGCCACAAGAAACAGUAAAGAACUAAUAAAAUCCCAUCUAAAAAAAGGGGAGUGGUGGGGGGGAACGUGGUGCCCUUUCUCCAAAGAGGCAUGGAUUACAUCCAAACCCUUCUGAAGCUCACAAGAAGCCUCAUUCUGAUUCCAGGGAGUUUUCAGUCCAGCUAGAAGGCUCUUCUCUCAGACAAAGUGUAGUUUUUCUCCCCACACUUUCUCCAUCUCUAAUGCUGGAAGGGAGCUGGAGAGGAGUAAUGACCCUUGGGAGCCUGGGAAUGAGUCAGGAGAGCUUCCCUCCCAGAGCUGGGGUGGUGGUGGCCGGACUGCUGUUCCCAGGGGGGGAAUAAGAGCGAGUGUGUCGCAUGUGCAGGGAGGAGAUGUUCCUCCACAGCUGGCUGUGCUGCUGUGCAAGUGCUGCAGAGCCCUGUUUUGGGCUUUGCCUUCCCUCGGGGCCCCCAAACCCGGGAACAACGUGCUCUUCCCAGGAGGUCAGCGAAGGGGAGCCUCAUCCCAAAGAGAGAUCAAAAUGCAAACCAAGACACAGCAAAGUUCUUCAAAAGCAAUGGGAUGCCCAUCGCUGCUCUAAAUUCAAAAUAAAUUGGGCAAAUAAUAGGCAAUAACAUGACUGGGUUAACAUCAGGCUUGUGGAUGGUGAAGCGAAUUUUAAUUUUAAAAAUGUGUAGCUCUCUGAUGAAAUACAGGGCAGAUCUUGGUGCAGGACUAAGUGGCCUGGUUGUGUCUGGGCUGGAAGAGGGUUUGAAAUGCCCCAACAGCACCAACCCAUGCCGGGUCCAUCAGCACCGUGAAGGGCAGUGUUCAGAUUGUAUUAGGCAAAAGCAGAAAAAUAAUCAUCUGGAGGACAGGGUGACUCAGGGGAUUGGCAAUAAGAUGGAUCAUGUUACUGCUUUGGAAUGGAUUCCAAUUAGUUGCAUCCGCUUUUAAUUAUUAUUAUUUAUACAGAACCUAAAGGCAGUCCAGAGAUUAUCCAAAAAUGCACAGGCUGAUCUGCAAAUCCCCCGUCCCUCCCCCCCUCAGAGCCCUUGCAAUGACAAACCCCAGUCACGCUGCCUGGACUGGUUCAUACUGGCUGAGAUGUAAAUUACUUGUUAGUGACCAGCUUGCUGCUUCUCCACUUUUGACACUCUUCAAGGGGAAAAUAGGGAACGGGUGACUGAGGCUGGAGUUUCGUGUGAAGUGUUUUUGUUGGAAGCAGCAGCAGCUCAAGAAGUUCCUCCUCGCCUCCCUGCAUUCGGUUCCUUUUUCCCCCUUGUGCCACCCCAUGAGUCAUGCAAAUACACCCAGGUCAGUGAACUGGUAACUUUGAAAAACAAGGAGGGUUUUUUUAAUCAGAGUAGGUGAAACUCACUGCUCAUGUUGACCAAAGACUGCUGGGUCUUUGCUCAGCUGGUGGUAGGAGUCUGAGUAGGCAUCCACUGACCUCGUUUGCCACCAGAAAUUAUCAUCUCUCCAACAGCAAGGUCUCUUGUCUUGUGAGGAAAGCCAGUGCUCCUGCUUAGUCACCUGAGGCUUAUUCAAGCCUAUUCAUGAAAUGGGAGGAAUUGUCUUGCCAAGAGAAGUUAUUUGGGAAAUUUUGAAGAAUAUGCCACAGAACUAUAGAAUCAGAGAAUAGUUUGGGUUGGAAAGGUCCUUAAAAAUCAUCUCCUUCCAACCCCCUGCCAUGGUCAGGAACAGCUUCCACUAGACCAGAUUGCUCAGGACCCUAUCCAGCCAGGCCUGGAACCCUUCUGAGGACGGGGCACCAUCACUUGUUUCACCCUGUAGAAAGCAGAAACAUUCCAGGAAGUGAUUUCUCAUCCCCGACCUGCACUAGAAGACGCCAGGCUAAUGGGGCAGACAUAAUUUCCUUUCAGACUGCCUCAUUCUCUGUACAUGGACCAUUGCUUCCACAUCUCCCAUAGAAACAGAACAUUUCUGUGUUGGUGUUGUUGUUAUGGGAAAGUAGCUGCUGCAUGGGAAAAUUUGUGACUCCAGUUCAUAUAGAAACCACAAUUACAACUUGCAUUAACAUGAAUUGGGAAGUUAAGUCAACAAAGACCAUAGACUUCCCUGGGUGAAGGAAGGGAGAGUCUAGGUGGGCGUUCUCACCCCAUUGACCCUCCCUAUGAUCUCCAGGAAACUGGGAAGGGAAAUGUCUACCAAGAGCAGAUGUUCCCAGCAGGAAUAUAUAGAUAUGCACACACACAUAUAUACAAAAGCACAGCCAUUUCAAGCCAGGUGUGUUAUCACUGAUGGAUUUCCCACCUCAAGAACCCCAUGGGAUUUCAGGACCAGGCACCAGGGAGCCAGGGGUGGCAGAUGGAGAGUGAAGUGUGGCUCUGUUGGGUGGAGGUUUGGUUGCCAUCACACCUGAGUUGAUCUCUCUUCUGGAAAUGGUGAAUGCACAGCUGGAGAGCCUGUUUUCCCAGAGGACUUUAAGAAAGGAGAAGGAGCAUCUGAUGGCCAGGCUAAGUGCAUGACCACCACCUUAGCCCUGUGCCCAGGGCUGUGAGAUAACCAGCAGGUGGGAUGGGGAGCUGAGGCUGCAGGUGGCCCUGCAUCUUCUCCCCGGUGAGAUCAGGGGGUGAGGCUCAUGAGGCUGGCAUCUCACAUCCUUCCCAGGUCAGUGACUUGCUGUGAAGAAGUUUCCUUCCUGACCCCCAAGUCAUGCAAGUGCUGUCAAGCAGGACAACUUUUAUCUGACUGAAAGCCACAGCUGCCUGCACGCCUGGUUUGGUGCAUGUGGAACAAGCCCAGCAGUCACAUCUGCACCUCUUCAAGUUAAAAUAACGGGGUUAUUGUUUUGGGGUUUUAUCCCUUUGGAGUCUUGAUUUGCAGGAGGUUCUUUGGCUCAGCUGCAGACUGAGGUCUGGAUGCAGGAGCCAGAAUGCUCUUAUUAACCUCAGCAGAAGCACUGGGACUCCGGGUACCUCCUCCAGUGCCCUCAUUCACCUCCCUCCCUUCCUCAUCCCUUUCCUUCUCCUUGCUGCAAGUGCUCUGGGGCUGAGGCUUGAAUGGUGUCUAACAGAGCCAAGCCUUGCUCUCAGCUGGGGUAUCUUGAUGGUCAUGAAGCUGAAAUGAAAAAUGAUGAAGCUGAAAUGAAAAAUGAUGAAGAGCAUUUUUAUGGAUGAACCUGAAAGCCUUGCAAUGUCCCUGGGUUUACACUGGAGGAAGUGAAGCAGUGGAUUAAGUGUUUCAGCUGUGAGCAGAGCACUGGCAGCAGAGCUCAGAGCCUCAUGCUAAGCAGAGGAUCACGUGUUGUCUUGCUCCUCUGUGGGCAGCAUGACCUAAGUGGGACAGGGAGGUGACAAGAGACGGAACAGUUUGCAGAGCUUUCAGAGAGCCCUGCAAAGCUUACUAUGAGUUUCCCAAAGCCAGUUGCUUUCCAGGAAGGACUGUGCACUCUUGCAGGUUCAGCAUCAAAUACAGAUAGCAAACAACCCCCCCUGCAAAUCUGUUAUUCAUGUCAGCUGUGGAUGCAAGAUCCCCUCUGUGUCAGAUUACCCAGCACACGUGAUCCUGCCAGCUUUGUGCCUUGUGUCACCUGCAGGGCCAUUGGAGUGGCACGGGCAGCCACUGCCUAAUCCAGCCUACAUCCUCCUGGUACAGAGGAGAACCAGCAAAUAACUCUCACCACCUCUGACCCAACAGGCUUCAUUGCACUCAGCACAGCACACUGCUUUCUCUGCUCAAGGCAGGCUCUGCAGCCUGCCCCAGGAGAAUGUCACUUCCCAAGUGACCAUGCUCAGCAGCCCAGCUGCCCCCAGCAGGGCAGAUCUCAUUGCUGAGUGGUCACAGAUAAUCUUAGUCACAGUUUAAUCAGGUAGUGGUGUUCAUGGGGGGAGGAUGGUCAGGGUGAGGAGGAGCUCACAUGGGGCUCUACUGUGUCUGUACAUCUUAUUUGAUGUAUAUUGGAUACAGAGUUAUCCGGGGCAGUUAAGGGUGACAGCAAAGAGAUGCAAAGAGCUUAAAAUAGUGCCGGACCAGGCGACAACAGCACGCAUUAAACUCAAGUGUCCGUGAAUAGGAGCAAGGGCUGCUUCCGUGUGAGUUAGUGCCUCCCAAAACCGAGACCCAGAGCCUUUCAGCGGCUCCCACGGGUAUCAGGUGACAGCACAGCGAGGAAAGCAAAGCCUCUCCUGCAUCCGUGAAGAUGAUGAGGGGGGGAUGGAGGAGACCCUGGAUGCGGAUGGCUCAGGAGGCAAGUAGCAGGGGGAAAUAUGAGGCUCAAGUCCAAGAUGGCACAGAGAAAACCAUCGGGGAAAUCAGUAACGCGUCAGCCUCAGCGUAGGUAGGUGACGGAGCCUGGGAACACGCCGGGUCUCUGAGUCACCGGGAUUUGUGCAGCCUCAGUCCUGGCAGCGCUGGGUGUUCCCCGCCACGUCGGCUGAGAGUGGCCGGGCAGCCUUUUCUGCGGUGGGAAAUGUGCCUGGAGCAGCCUGGGUGUCCUCAGCUCCGCGGGGAGCAGGGCAAGGUGACUUGGAGGUAGCGAGGUGUUCUCAUCUCUCCUGGGCUCCUGCAUCCAGCACAACUCUUUAAAAGCCCCGCCCAAGCUUGGCAGAUUUAAAUCACUUCAGGCCAUUUAAUCAUCAUGUAAGCAGACCGAGCUUAAGGACUGAUUUAUAGACUUUGCACUGGUUAGAGUAACCCCUGGUUACUCUAACUGGUGUUAGAGUGGGUUGUACAAGGAGCUGGUUAUGCCAUGGUAAGCUUUCAGUGGAGAUGAAGACCCCGGGAGCAAGGCUUCCAGCAGGAGAGCUCCAGCCUUGCAUUACACACCAGUUUAGGAGGAAAGAGGAAUCUGCAGGAAGCUCCCUGCAGUCUGGCACUCUCCUGCCUUCACACAUUUUAACUGCCUGCAAAUCCUCCUCCAGGAAACUGAGAAUUAGCCCCGGUGCUAAAUGACUUUGGAAGAGAGGAUCCUUACUGGGGACUCUUGCUGGAAAAAAAUAACAGGGCUGGAUGUGUAAAGUAGUGAAGAGGUCGCAGGCCAGCUCCUGGGAAGGACACAUCCCUCCCAUCCCACCCGCCUCCAGGUCCUUCCUAUAAACUGGGCAGUUUUUCUCUUCCCUUAGCAGCUUGCCAGACCCUCUCUGUGAUUGUUUUUGCUCUGUUUGCCACCAGUUAAACUCCAGCUGGAUGUGAGGGAGAAGGAGGGAUAAGUCCCAUACCCUGAGCUCAAAUCACUUUGAUCCAUGGUUUAAACACAUCAGCUUGAACCAGCCUAGGAGAUUGCCAACCCACAGGUCUCACUCCUGUCCUUUCUCCUGCAGGUCCAGGCUACCAGCCCAUCCUCCCCUUUAUCUUAGCUCUUGUGCUGGGAACUUGGCCCUGAGUUAGCAGAAACCUGUUCCCUUUUUCCACUUGGUUAUUUUUGGGCCAGAUUAGUAGUUUGGGUGUGUGGAGGCUGCGCAACACCAAAGCUGAUGCAAGGGUGAUAGGGUGGGGGUGAGGGAUGGGUCCAGGCAGCCUGUGGGUGAAAGAUAAUCAGCAUGGGUACAAAUGCUACAGCACAGCUGGUUACAAGGUCACCUCGGGUCAGAGGAGAAGCAGAGAUGCCAUUUGAGGUUACAGUGACAACUGGGGUUAAAGGCCUGAGACUGAGGGAACUGGGCAAGGCUGCUGAGAGGUUCCUGGGACAGCCCCAACAGCAUUUUGGGAAUGAUUACUGUGACAUGGUGAUGGCUGGGAAGCACCUUGGGAGCACUGUGGUUGCACCAGGCCUUGCUUGCAGCUCAUUUCACUCUGAGCCCUGCCCCAUCACUGUGGCUGGCUGGGUGGCACUGGGAUGGUGGGACCCCAGUGCCACAGCUAUGGGAUAAGCCUGGUUAGAGGUAGCAGAGGGCUGGACAUGAAGCUACCACAUUCCUGCUCUUAGCACAGUAUUUUCCGUUUCACCUUUGGAAACCUUCUCUUCAAGUCCUGAAGUGUCUGUGGAGCAAAUUGUCCUUGAAAAUGAGCCAGGACACAGCCCUCAAAGUUCUGGACGCUGCAACUGAGGUAAUUCUGUAAUAAAUGUAACCUUUCUGGCAGCACAAGAGAGCAAUUAAGGAGCCUUUAAUUUUUAAGGGUCCUCAAAAACAUGUCACUAAUUUCUAGCCAGAAACACAGGAAAAUUUAGUCAUACCAGGCUGGAUACGCAAGGAACUCUCCUGCUCUACAAGCCUUCCACGUCUGUCUCUGCCCUCCAUCCCUCACACUCUGCCUCAGCCAUCCUCCCCCUGCUUCCCUCCCCAGCUAUCCUUCCCCAGUUGUGAAAAAAAGAAACUUAACCAAACAGUGCUCCACUGGAGGGAAGGGAGGCAAGGGAAACAGGAAAGCAGAUAAUGUAACAACAAACAGCAACCCCAUCCAAAGUACACAGAGGCGUGUUCAUCUUUCCCUUUCUUUUUGCUUUUCCAUGGCCCCUAGGAAAACCAGCUACUGCCUCCAUCCUGCAGUCUCCCACUGUGCCAGUUCUGGUCUCAAGCUGCAGACUGUGCAUUUCUCCCAGGCAUCAGCUGUUCUUCCAUCCAUCCAUCCAUCCAUCCAUCCAUCCAUCCAUCCAUCCAUCCAUCCAUCCAUCCAUCCAUCCAUCCAACCCCACUAGCCACUACUCAUCAGUGAUGCCCUUAGUAGGAGCCCCAUGUUGUCCUCUCUCAGAAUAAGACUCAGUCAAUAGAGUCAAAACCCAAGGGCAGCCAUUUUUGAUGCACAAUUGCUGAUACUGGUGAUGCUGAGCCCAGGUCUAAAGGUCACGGAGUGAGAGCAGUUUAACCCACAAACUUGUAGACCUUUGGUUUCCAUCACCAGGCUCACCUUGUGCGCGAGCAGGAGUGGAAGAGGACUGACUCAGACUCACAGAAUCAGUGGGGUUGGAAAAGACCUCUGAGAUCAUCGAGCCCAACCCAUGACCAAACACCACCUUGUUAACCAGACCAUAGCACUCAGUGCCAUGUCCCAUCUUUCCUUAACCAUCUCCAGGGACAGUGACUCCACCGCCUCCCAGGGCAAUCCAUUCCAAUGUUUAACAACCCUUUUCAUGAAGAAUUUCCUCCUGAUGUCCAACCUGAACCUCCCCUAGUCCAGCUUGAGGCUCAUCCUCUUGUUAGUUCCCUGGGAGACAAGGCUGACCCACCUUGCUGCAACCUUUGCAGGUAGCUGCAGAGAGCAGGGGUGAGGAUCAGGGGCGUGGGGAGGUGGCUCUGGCUGCCUGGCCUGGUCAGUGGCGCAAUGCCAGGCGAGGACAAGCUGUUCCCUGGCUCCUUAUUGUUACCAGAUGAGUGGGGGAUGUUUACAAUCGCUGGGUUUGGAUAAUCAAGUUCUGAUUGGGACAGAGGAAGGAGAGCUGCCCUCCUCUUCCCUCCUGCACCCCACACCAGGCACUCAGCCCCCUGCCCUCCCGCAGGGCUUUGUUCCUGGGGGUGACGCACGGCAGCCUGGACGUGACUGUGGAUCCCACACCCCCACGAUGCCCUGCUCUGUCUGGGGUUAUUGUGUGAUGCCCAGAACAAUGUGCUGUGGUUAGGGAUGCCUGGGAGAGCGCCGGGAGGCUCCCUGCUCCCCCUCUCCCUGCUAGUGCUGGGGGAGGCAGCUUUUGGCCAUCUGGUAGCUGUGGGUUUGGUGGAGGUCCCCCAGCAGGGGAGGAGAUGCAAUCACCAGUGCUGUUCCUAGAGAGGAAAGCCAGCAUUUGGCACUGCUGAGCCACAGAUGCACUGUGUGUCUUGGGCAUGGGAUGGCCUUGGGCACUGUAGGAUGACAGGAUAGCUCGUGUGGGAAGGGACUGCAGGAGGUCUCCAGCCCAAUCUCUUCAUCCUGCCAGCUCUGGGGUCAGACCAGGUUGCCUGGGGCUUUAGUGAGUUGGGUCUUAGAAACCUCCAAGGCUGGAGGCAGCACAGCCUUUCUGGGCACCCUGUAUCAGUGCUGAACUGCGCUCCUCAUAGUGGGAACAUUUUUUCUCAUAUCCAGUCUGAACUCCCUGACUUCAGCUUAUGUCCAGUGUCUGUUGAGCUCCCCUUGUGCACCUCUGUGUACAGCUUGAUUUCAUCAUCUCCAUAUCCUCCUUGCAGGUACCCCAGAGCUUCUCUUCUCCAGCUCUGCAUGCUCAGCCUCCCCUCCCAGGCUGUGUGAUCCCACAGGGCUGUGUGAGCUCUGAUUGUCUUGAUGGCCUUUCCCAUGUGUGUCCAUCUCUCUCGUGCUGGAGGCUGUUGCAAUAUCCAGUCAUGGUGUCAGCAGGGCUGAGCAGAGGGGAGGAGUUGCCUUCCUCUACCUGCUGGAAAUGCUCUGCCUAAUGCAGCCCGAGGGCCUGUUUGCCUUCUUUGCUGUGAUGAUGCAUUGCUGACUCAAUGCCCUUUCUGCACAGCUGCUCCUCCACCAGUCACCCCCAGCCUGUGUUGUAGCCUAGGGGUUGUUUCUUCCCAAACACUGGACUUGGCAUUUGCCCUGGAUGAAGUCCAUGAAUAUCCUUGCAGUACCAAGUCGAAGAGAGUGAGGAGGCAGCAAAUGUCUUGUGGACUUUCCUGAGCCACAGGGACUUUCACUUUGUAAUGGUUUGGAAAGUCCCUUCUAGCAGACCAUACCCACACCUUAGCGAGGAAAAUCUGCUUAUUUGGGAUGUUGUGAUGGCUGGAAGCUCAGGCAGGAAUAUGGGUCAGUGAUACAACCAGGAAUCAGAGCCACCCAGUGCCGAGGUGGAGACUUGGGGAACACUGGGGACACAGGGCUUUUCACACCAGUAUGUCAUUGCAAAACCCUCAGGAGUUAGGGGCUUCUGUGUCCUCCAGGGGCAUGGUACUGACAGGAGGGAAGGGGAAAUGUGUCCUUCCUGGCUUUGGGAGUCCCUUUGGCUGCCUGGGUGAGAUGUCCCUCUGCACACGUUCUGUUCACACAGCUGUUCUGAGUCGGGCAUUUGCGCAUGGCAGGAGCUGAGCUUUGCAUCAUUUGGACUUCUUCUUGCUGGUUGUUUCCCUUGUGCCCAGGUCCCCCUGGAGCCAACUCUCAGGCAGUUUGGUGUGGGGCAUGUUUGGUCUGGGAUUUGUUAAUCACCUUCCUUUGCCAUGUGUGUCCUUUGGCCAAUGAGUGUGUCAGGAGAUGAGCAUUGCCUUUGGUGGAGAAAAGGCAGAAUAAUGUUCUUCCCUGAUGAAUUCCCAGGGAGAGCAGGAUCCCUACAGGCCCUCAUGAGACCCCAUCUGGAGAGCUGUGUCCAGAUCUGGGGUCCUCAGAACAAGAAAGACAUGGACUUGUUGGAGCAGGUCCAGAGGGGACCACAGAGAAGCUCAAAGGGCUGGAGCCCCUCUCCUUUGCAGACAGACUGGGAGAGUUGAGGUGGAUCAGCCUGGAGAAGAGAAGGCUCUGGGAAGACCUUUGAGAGCUUACCAGUAAUUGAAGAGAGCUUAUAAAAAGUGGGGAGCAGCUUCUUACAUGAGUAGAUACUGAUAGGGCAAAGGGGAAUGUUUGUAAACUAAGACACAAGAGUUUUAGUCUAGAUGGUAGGAAGAAAUUCUUUAUUCCAAGGGUGGUGAGGUACUAUCACAGAUUGUCCAGAGAAGCUUCCCUGGAAGUGUUCAGGGCCAAGUUGGAUGGGGCCUGGAGCAACCUGGUCCAGUGGGUGGCAUCCCUGCCCAUGGCAGAGAGGCUGGAACAAGAUGAUCUUUAGAGGUUCUUCCAACCCAAACCAUUCCAUCAUUCAUGUGAAGUGAGAUGUGCAGGAACACGUCAUUGCUUUUCUGGGGAUGAAGACAAAGACCCCCUUGGCUCCCAUUCUUCUCCAGUUUACCACAGCAGCAGUGCAGGGUCUCACCCUGCCAUAGAAAGGUCCCUUCCCCAGACCAGAGUAUUUAUUCCCAGGACUUCCCCGCCCCAGGGCUGCUCAUUCAUCUCUUGCAGACAGAAUGGAGCCUGUCACAAGAGCAGAUGCAGAGCAGGCAGAGCUCCCCAUGAGACCCUUCACCACCAGAGAUGAUAAACAGAUGGGGAAAUCUGCUGGGAAAUGCAUUGACGUAAGGAGGUGAGAGGCUGGAGCAGUGUCCCCAAGGAGGUGCAAACACGCUGAGAAAGCUGCAUGCAGAGCCCGGUGCACAAUGGCUCUUUGAUUCCCCCAGACGCUGCUAAUGGGCCGUUUCCUCUCCCAGCCCUCCCUGUGGAUCCGAGAUGUCUUGCUGGAUGUCUUGCCCUCCCCUUAUCUGUCUCCCUGACUUCUCUCUGGGAUUUCCUCUGAUCAGGCUGCUGGGUCAUCCCAGGCUAGUGUCCCUCGUAGGAUCCCUCUGUCCUCAGAGCUGCUGUGGCCAGAAGCAUUUCUCUUCAGAGGAUAACUGCAGCAUAUGUGAAGGGAGCGUGGAGAAGCCUCAGCCUUCCCAUCUGGAGGGAGAAUUGGGCUCAGUACCACCCUGCCUGCUGCCAGGAGGAUGGCACAUCCCCACGACGGUAAAAGGAGGGGACAUCCGAGCUGGAAUGCAAAUGACCUCGGAGGCAGCACGCAACGGGAAAAGCCCCUCACCAAACCCAGCAAAUAAACCCCCAAAAAUAACGAGCCAACACAAAAUUGACCGAUCGAAGUGAUGUCGAGACAUGAGCAACAGAAUCCAGUAUCCGCUAAGAUCCUUUUUACCCCUCACCCUAACCUCAAAGAUGUCAGCUGGACAGAGCACCCCGAAUGUCAGGUCGAAAAGAGGGGCAUGAGGUGGUCGUAUGACAAGGAACGAGUUUCCAUCUUUGUCUGUCCUCUAAUAGACAAGGCUGCGCUUUAUUUACGUUUUCCGUGCUCUUUCUGGAGUGGCAGUGUGGGUGUGGAGCAGGACACGUCGGUUCUCCCCACUUGAGCUGAUCACUUUUAAUAAAGGCAUUAAAAAGGAGAAA